rnacentral:misc_RNA from 1 species
GAUGAAGAACGUAGCGAAAUGCGAUAAGUAAUGUGAAUUGCAGAAUUCAGUGAAUCAUCGAAUCUUUGAACGCACAUUGUGCCCCUUGGUAUUCCGAGGGGCAUGCCUGUUCGAGCGUCAUUAUAACCCCUCAAGCUCAGCUUGGUGUUGGGGCCUGCCGCACGGGCAGCCCUUAAAAUCAGUGGCGGUGCCAUCUGGCUCUAAGCGUAGUAAUUCUUCUCGCUAUAGAGUCCCGGUGGAUGCUUGCCAUUAACCCCCAAUUUUCUAUGGUUGACCUCGGAUCAGGUAGGGAUACCCGCUGAACUUAAGCAUAUCAAAAGCGGAGGA